AGCGGGGCUCGGAUGGGAGCGGCCCGCGCCAGAUCCGAGGGCGAUUGCCUCUCCAGCCUGCGGAGGGUACGGCCGCGAGUGCCUCCAAAUCACUAGGGGACUCUGAACGUGUUGCUCCCGUCAACUCGCUCAACAUGAUUCAUUUAUUCACUUAGAUAAACCACCACCGCCACACCAACCUGCCACUUGAUGCGCACUUAAAAGGACAGGGGAGCGCGGGCCAGGCAGACCCUCCGCCGGACACGACUCGGGGAGAAACGUGUUUUAAAAUCCAAGCUCUUGAGCUUCUAACCAGGGAGCGCGCGCGAGUGUGUGAAGAGGCUGAGAACCUCGGUUUUCAGAGACUCUAGAAUAAACUUCUCGCCCCCCUCUCCUCCCGAGGACAGUCGGGACUGUGGGUGAUCGAGUCUCAUUGGGUCGGGUCGGCCUUCUAAGUUGGCGGGGCCCUGCGGGACCGGUCUGCUUGACCCGACCGCGCUCGCAUUGGAGAGCCGAGGCUCGAUCGGUCUGCCGGGCUGCAUAACCCCCGCCCCGCAGCAGCGGCGUCCCUCGCGCGCCGCCGCGUUUCCCGCGCUCUCGGCCCGUACUUCCCGGCGCGGCCUACAAGGCCCCGCGCGGCCCCGCCUCCGGGUCCCGCUCGGUCUCCGGCUGCGAGAGGGAAGGCGGAGGUUAUCCGCCGAGGGACAAGCGGCGCGGACCGAGGUUCCUGAGCAGAAGGGAAAAUGAGCUUAAACAUGAGGCUUGGAGGAGAAAGAAGGGCUGGGGAGAAAUAUGGUUAUUCAGUCAGUCAGUUCAGUCACUCAGUCGUGUCCAACUCUUUGUGACCCCAUGGACUGCCGCACACCAGGCUUUCCUGUCCAUCACCAACUCUUGGAGCUUGCUCAAACUCAUGUCCAUCGAGUUGCUGAUGCUAUCACUUUAUUGGUUAUUACAAGAUAUUGAAUACAGUUCCCUGUGCCAUGCAGUAAAUCCUUAUUUUUUAAUCUAUUUUAUAUAUAGUUGUGUAUAUCUGCUAAUCCCAAAUUCCUAAUUUAUCCCUCCCCCUUUCUCCCCUUUGGUAAACCAUAAACUUGUUUUCUGUAUCUGUGAGUCUAUUUCUGUUUUGUAUGCAAGUUCAUUUGUAUCAUAUUUUUAGAUUCCACAUGUAAGUGAUAUAAUGUUUGU
rnacentral:lncRNA from 1 species